UACGUAGGGUGCAAGCGUUUGUCCGGAAUUAUUGGGCGUAAAGAGCUUGUAGGCGGUCUGUCGCGUCUGCCUGGUGAAAAUCCGGGGCUCAACCCCCGGAGUUGCAGUGGGUACGGGCAGACUAGAGUGUGGUAGGGGGAGACUGGAAUUCCGGGUGUAGCGGUGGAAUGCGUAGAGAUCCGGAAGAACACCGGUGCGAA
rnacentral:rRNA from 1 species